rnacentral:rRNA from 1 species
GUCUACCACCACGCCACCCUGAUUCCGUCUGAUCUUGGAAGCUAAGCAAGGUCUGGCCUGGUUAGUACUUGGAUGGGAGACCACCUAGAAAGACCAGGUGCUGUAGGCA